GAUGAACGCUGGCGGCGUGCCUAACACAUGCAAGUCGAACGAGGCAAAUAAGUUGAAGUUUUCGGAUGGAUUCUUAUUUACCGAGUGGCGGACGGGUGAGUAACGCGUGGGUAACCUGCCUCAUACAGGGGGAUAACGGUUAGAAAUGACUGCUAAUACCGCAUAAGCGCACAGUACCGCAUGGUACGGUGUGAAAAACUCCGGUGGUAUGAGAUGGACCCGCGUCUGAUUAGCUAGUUGGUGAGGUAACGGCCCACCAAGGCGACGAUCAGUAGCCGACCUGAGAGGGUGACCGGCCACAUUGGGACUGAGACACGGCCCAGACUCCUACGGGAGGCAGCAGUGGGGGAUAUUGCACAAUGGAGGAAACUCUGAUGCAGCGACGCCGCGUGAGUGAAGAAGUAUUUCGGUAUGUAAAGCUCUAUCAGCAGGGAAGAAAAUGACGGUACCUGACUAAGAAGCCCCGGCUAACUACGUGCCAGCAGCCGCGGUAAUACGUAGGGGGCAAGCGUUAUCCGGAUUUACUGGGUGUAAAGGGAGCGUAGACGGCGACGCAAGUCUGAAGUGAAAUACCCGGGCUCAACCUGGGAACUGCUUUGGAAACUGUGUUGCUAGAGUGCUGGAGAGGUAAGCGGAAUUCCUAGUGUAGCGGUGAAAUGCGUAGAUAUUAGGAAGAACACCAGUGGCGAAGGCGGCUUACUGGACAGUAACUGACGUUGAGGCUCGAAAGCGUGNGGAGCAAACAGG
rnacentral:rRNA from 1 species